GGCCCGGCCCAGAUGCUAUCUGGUUAGAACGAACACACGUGGUCAAGGAGAAAAUCCUAAGGCAAGCGAGACAACUGUAGCUAAGGAACUCUGCAAAAUAACUCCGUAACUUCGGAAGAAGGAGUGCUCAUCUUUGAUGAGCCACAGUGAAGAGGGAGGGGCACCCGUGUAACAAAAACACUCUCUCUGCUAAGUCGCAAGACGAUGUAUAGGGGGUGACACCUGCCCAGUAACGGA
rnacentral:rRNA from 1 species